rnacentral:rRNA from 1 species
AACGAACGCUGGCGGCAUGCCUAACACAUGCAAGUCGAACGAGACCUUCGGGUCUAGUGGCGCACGGGUGCGUAACGCGUGGGAACCUGCCCUUAGGUUCGGAAUAACUCCCCGAAAGGGGUGCUAAUACCGGAUAAUGUCUUCGGACCAAAGAUUUAUCGCCUUUGGAUGGGCCCGCGUUGGAUUAGCUAGUUGGUAGGGUAAAAGCCUACCAAGGCGACGAUCCAUAGCUGGUCUGAGAGGAUGAUCAGCCACACUGGGACUGAGACACGGCCCAGACCUCGGCGGGAGGGAGGAGUGGGGAAGAUUGGGCCAUGGGCGAAAGCCGGAACCCGGAAUGCCGGGUGGGGGAUUAAGGCCUUAGGGUUGUAAAGCCCUUUUCCCCGGGGUGAAUAAGGCCAUUCCGGGAAAAAAAGCCCCGGCUAACCCCG